rnacentral:tRNA from 1 species
AACUAGCUAGUCUAAUUCUUGGACGUUUAUUUUGAAAAUAAGAGGUAACAUGUAGAGCAUGUUGCUAGUUU